rnacentral:misc_RNA from 1 species
GGUAGUAAAAGUCGUAACAAGGUUUCCGUAGGUGAACCUGCGGAAGGAUCAUUAUUGUAUAACCGAGGUGCGAGGGCUGUCGCUGACCCGAAAGGUCGUGCACGCCCGAGUGCCCUCACACACAUCCAUCUCACCCCUAUGUGCACCACCGCGUGGGUCCCCCUUUGGCUUGUUCGGAGGGGGGCUUACGUUUUCACACAAACUUUGUAUGCAGUGUAGAAUGUAUUUUUUGUUUUUGCGAUCACGCAAUCAAUACAACUUUCAACAACGGAUCUCUUGGCUCUC